rnacentral:tRNA from 1 species
AAUGAAAUGCCUGAUAAAAAGGAUUAUUUUGAUAGAAUAAAACAUAUAAUAUAAAUUAUUUUCAUUA